rnacentral:other from 1 species
CAAACCCUGCUGUGUUCGUGAUGCCCGUAGAGAGGUUUGAGCCAACACUCGAAUAAAGGGAGUCGGGCGCCAGGGGGGAUGCGAUAGCCUCGCCGAAGGCAAGGCAGUAACCGCUGGGUAGAUUCCCACCUGCAGAGACAGGUUCAAAACCAACAAGGCACACGGCACAGCGGGGCACAA